GAUGAACGCUAGCUACAGGCUUAACACAUGCAAGUCGAGGGGAAACGGCAUUAAGUGCUUGCACUUUUUGGACGUCGACCGGCGCACGGGUGAGUAACGCGUAUCCAACCUUCCCAUGACUAAGGGAUAACCUGCCGAAAGGCAGACUAAUACCUUAUGGUCUUCACUGACGGCAUCAGAUGUGAAGUAAAGAUUUAUCGGUUAUGGAUGGGGAUGCGUCUGAUUAGCUUGUUGGCGGGGUAACGGCCCACCAAGGCAACGAUCAGUAGGGGCUCUGAGAGGAAGGUCCCCCACAUUGGAACUGAGACACGGUCCAAACUCCUACGGGAGGCAGCAGUGAGGAAUAUUGGUCAAUGGGCGAGAGCCUGAACCAGCCAAGUAGCGUGCAGGAUGACGGCCCUAUGGGUUGUAAACUGCUUUUGUAUGGGGAUAAAGUCAGUCACGUGUGAUUGUUUGCAGGUACCAUACGAAUAAGGACCGGCUAAUUCCGUGCCAGCAGCCGCGGUAAUACGGAAGGUCCGGGCGUUAUCCGGAUUUAUUGGGUUUAAGGGAGCGUAGGCUGGAGAUUAAGUGUGUUGUGAAAUGUAGACGCUCAACGUCUGACUUGCAGCGCAUACUGGUUUCCUUGAGUACGCACAACGUUGGCGGAAUUCGUCGUGUAGCGGUGAAAUGCUUAGAUAUGACGAAGAACUCCGAUUGCGAAGGCAGCUGACGGGAGCGCAACUGACGCUGAAGCUCGAAGGUGCGGGUAUCGAACAGG
rnacentral:rRNA from 1 species